GAUAAUGUGAGAAAUGUUGAGAGUGUCUGAAUAAGUUUUGGUUUGACUGUAUAUAAUAAUAUAAUUGUUUGUUUUUAGGGUCCUGUAUUUAGAUUUAAAUACAUACAGUUUUUGAAAUGUAAUUUUCUGUGAAACUGUCUCUACGUUACCUUUAAUUGACAUUUUAACACUUCAUUAAUUGCCUGUGUGUUGUAUUUAGCAGUGGGCACCCAGGAGGAUAUGACGGACGUCCUGUUGCUCCAUACCCUUUUCCUACAGGUGGGUUUCCUCCACCCAUGCAAGGAGCUGUUAACCCCUGGCCUGGUUUGAUGGACAACCCAAAGCAGUGGGACUAUUACCCUCGGCGAGACAAAGAGAGGGAAAAAGAGCGAGAGAGAGACAGGCCGAGGGAAAGGGGUCAUGAGAGAGACCAUAGUCCCUCUGCUGUGGUUUAUAACAGUGAUGAAGAACGGUAUCGUUCUUACCGUGAUUACGGAGACAGAGGGUAUGAGAGGCAUCGGGAGCGAUCGAGCCGAGAGAAGGAGGAGCGUCACAGGGAGAGGAGACACAGAGAGAAAGAGGAAGGGAGGCACAAGUCAUCGCGGAGUAGCAGACGGAGACAUGACAGCGAGGAGGGUGACAGUCACCGGCGCCACAAGCACAAGAAGUCCAAAAGGAGCAAAGAGGGCAAGGAGCCCAGUGAGGAGCGUUCUGCUGACCAGGAGAACCAGGAGGCCAUGGAGUAACUCCUGUCUGUCUUCUCCGCUCUCCUUCUUUCUUAUCAUCAGAGCGUUGGUUGUCCACCAAAUCAUGCUAUAUGAAAUUAUAAUCCAGUUUACCUUCCUUUUGUGUUCAUGUUUCCCUUUUUUUUUGUUUUUGCAGUUUUUCUCCAGUGCAGUUGUGUACCAUGUAGAUGUUGAUUUGUUGGAUUAAAAAAGAG
rnacentral:lncRNA from 1 species